GGGGUUGUGGCUCAGUGAUAGAGUGCUCGUUUAGCACGAGCGAGGCCCUGGGUUCGAUACUCAGCACCACA
rnacentral:tRNA from 1 species